rnacentral:tRNA from 1 species
GCCCUCAUCGCAUAAUGGUAGUGCACGCGACUCGAACUCGCGGCCCUUGUGGCAUCCAGGUUCGAUUCCUGGUGGGGGCG